GACGAACGCUGGCGGCGUGCCUAAUACAUGCAAGUAGAACGCUGAAGGAGGAGCUUGCUCUUCUGGAUGAGUUGCGAACGGGUGAGUAACGCGUAGGUAACCUGCCUGGUAGCGGGGGAUAACUAUUGGAAACGAUAGCUAAUACCGCAUAACAGUAGAUGUUGCAUGACAUUUGCUUAAAAGGUGCAAUUGCACCACUACCAGAUGGACCUGCGUUGUAUUAGCUAGUUGGUGGGGUAACGGCUCACCAAGGCGACGAUACAUAGCCGACCUGAGAGGGUGAGCGGCCACACUGGGACUGAGACACGGCCCAGACUCCUACGGGAGGCAGCAGUAGGGAAUCUGCGGCAAUGGACGGAAGUCUGACCGAGCAACGCCGCGUGAGUGAAGAAGGGUUUCGGAUCGGAAAGCUCGGUUGUAAGAGAAGAACGAGUGUGAGAGUGGAAAGUUCACACUGUGACGGUAUCUUACCAGAAAGAGACGGCUAACUACGUG
rnacentral:rRNA from 1 species